GUCUCGGUGGUGUAGUGGUCAGGACGCUCGCUUGGUAAACAGGAGGACGUGGGUUCGAUUCCACCCGAAGUA
rnacentral:tRNA from 1 species